UGUACAACAAAUCUAGCGUAUUACAAUAUUGAUAUUCAUCCAGGAUAAUAAAAUUAUAAUCAUAAGAUUAUGUUCUUCUAGAAACGUUCACAUCAUUCUGCCCAUUAUUUUGUUCCUGAUAAGUUUUGGAAUUGUAGUGUUGACAUUUUACCAGAAGCCCAAGGAAAGUUUCAUGGCACUAGGAUUGGUUGCAGCUGGGAUUUUCUUGUAUAUAAUUGGAACUUGGAAACACAAACCAAAGGAAAUUGCAGACAAACUCCAUUCCCUUAAUAUCUUCAUCCAGAAGAUGCUUCUUGUAAUGCCACCAGACAACUCGGAUGAAAUCGAUUGGGAAUAACAACUUCCUUAUAAAGAGAAGAAUAAAUACAGAAACAAUGACCAAAGUUGAAGAAUAAAAGGAUAAUUUUUUUUUGAAAAGUUUAACAGCACAUAAGAUUAUUUAAAAAGUAUUAAGGAAAUACUCCACAUGAGUUUGAUCUGAUAAGAAAGGCAUUUAUUUUUGUGUGUUUUUAACUUUUAUGCUUUGUGUGCAGAUGUUUUUAAUUUAUAUUUAUAUUAUCACUGCAUAAAAAUUUUGUAAUUUAUUGUCAUGAAAUUAUGUUGGUUUUUUAACUUCAAGGCUCUAUUAGGAUAUGUACUUGUUUUUGUCACCCGAGUCAAUCAGUGAGCUAUUGCUCUCUGUUGUAGUGUCCAUCAGUCAUUAUCUUGUACAUUUUCAGCUCUCUCUGAAACAGCCGAAAAAAGGCACAUAGAUGUAUAAGUGGUAUCUAUUAGUAAUAAAGGAGAAAGUUUUAUUGCAGGUAUAUUGCAUAUAUUUGCCCCCCACAAAUGUCAAAUUUUGAAAACUUCCUGAAAUGUGCUGAAUUCAAUAAAUUGUAUGAGAAAUAUAAAUUAACAGAACAUAUUAUUGUUUCAAAGUAGUUUAUUCACAAUUUUUGUUUUUAUGACGUCACAACAGUUUAAAAUAGGAUUUUAUAUCCUUUUUCAGAAAGAGGACAAAAUGGACAAAAUUUCAACAAUUUUAGCUUUAAAAUUUAUAGAGCGCAAGUUUGUUCAAGAACAAUAUUUA